rnacentral:rRNA from 1 species
CGCCGCGUGUGUGAUGAAGGCUUUCGGGUCGUAAAGCACUGUUGUAUGGGAAGAAAUGCUAAAAUAGGGAAUGAUUUUAGUUUGACGGUACCAUACCAGAAAGGGACGGCUAAAUACGUGCCAGCAGCCGCGAUAAUACGG